rnacentral:rRNA from 1 species
GACGGAGGGUGCAAGCGUUAUCCGGAUUCACUGGGUUUAAAGGGUGCGUAGGUGGGUUGGUAAGUCAGUGGUGAAAUCUCCGAGCUUAACUUGGAAACUGCCGUUGAUACUAUCAAUCUUGAAUAUCGCGUAGGUAAGCGGAAUAUGUCAUGUAGCGGUGAAAUGCUUAGAUAUGACAUAGAACACCAAUUGCGAAGGCAGCUUACUUCACGAUCAUUGACACUGAGGCACGAAAGCGUGGGGAGCAAACAGG